rnacentral:rRNA from 1 species
UGAAUACGAGAUGCUACGGCGUCGAAGCAGUCUAUGUCAUACUUCCAAGAAAAGCUUGCACUGUCAUAAACAAAUAAUGCCUGUACCAUAACCGACACAGGUGGGUAGGUAGAGUAUACUAAGGGGCGCGAGAUAACUCUCUCUAAGGAACUCGGCAAAAUGACUCCGUAACUUCGGGAGAAGGAGUGCCUUAUUUAUAAGGUUGCAAUAACAAGAUCCAAGCAACUGUUUUACCAAAAACACAGGUCUCCGCUAAGUCGUAAGACGAUGUAUGGGGGCUGACGCCUGCCCAGUGCCAGAAGGUUAAAGAAGUUGGUUAGCAUCCGCGAAGCUGAUAACUGAAGCCCUGGUGAACGGCGGCCGUAACAAUAACGGUCCUAAGGUAGCGAAAUUCCUUGUCGGGUAAGUUCCGACCCGCACGAAAGGCGUAAUGAUUUGGAUACUGUCUCGGAGAGGGGCUCGGUAAAAUAGACUUGUCUGUGAAGAUGCGGACUACCUGCACCAGGACAGAAAGACCCUAUGAAGCUUUACUGUAACCUGAAAUUGAAAUUGGACUUUACUUGCGCAGUAUAGGUGGGAGGCGUUGAGAAUAUUCUUGCGGGAUUAUUGGAGCCAUCAGUGAGAUACCACUCUUGUAAUGUUAGAUUUCUAACUUUGUAUCAUUAUCUGGUCAAAGAACAGUUUCAGGCGGGCAGUUUGACUGGGGCGGUCGCCUCCUAAACGGUAACGGAGGCGCACAAAGGUUUCCUCUGAACGGGUAGAAAUCGUAUCUAGAGUGUAAAGGCAUAAGGAAGCUUGACUGUGAGACCUACAAGUCGAGCAGGGACGAAAGUCGGUCUUAGUGAUCUGACGGUGCUGAGUGGAAAGGCCGUCACUCAACGGAUAAAGUUACUCUAAGGAUAACAGGCUGAUCUCCCCCAAGAGUUCACAUCGACGGGGAGGUUUGGCACCUCGAUGUCGGCUCAUCGCAUCCUGGGGCGGUAGUACGUCCCAAGGGUUGGGCUGUUCGCCCAUGAAAGCGGUACGCGAGCUGGGUUCAGAACGUCGUGAGACAGUUCGGUCCAUAUCCGGUGUAGGCGUUAGAAUAUUGAGAGGAGCCUUCUUUAGUACGAGAGGACCGAGAAGGACAUACCUCUGGUGUACCAGUUAUCGUGCCAACGGUAAACGCUGGGUAGCUAUGUGUGGAGUGGAUAACCGCUGAAAGCAUCUAAGUGGGAAGCCCACCUCAAGAUAAG